rnacentral:rRNA from 1 species
UACAGAGGGUGCAAGCGUUAUUCGGAAUUACUGGGCGUAAAGGGCGCGUAGGCGGCCGAGCAAGUCUGAUGUGAAAUCCCUAGGGUCAACUUAGGAACUGCAUUGGAUACUGCUCAGCUUGAGGAUAGGAGAGGAGAGCGGAAUUCCUGGUGUAGAGGUGAAAUUCUUAGAUAUCAGGAGGAACACCGGUGGCGAAGGCGGCUCUCUGGACUAUUACUGACGCUGAGGCGCGAAAGCGUGGGGAGCAAACAGG